UGAUUCCAGUGUCUAAAGUCUCUCCGACGCGACGUGCUCGCACGGCGGAGUCGGAGAGACUUUAAGACACGCCCCGGCAUGAGCAGGGAGGGAUGCGGAGCAGACCGGGAGUGCGAAUGUCGGGGAGCAUGCUGAGAGCGACGAAGCCGCGAAAGCAUGCGUGGAAUCA
rnacentral:sRNA from 1 species